ACGGAAGGCAGCAGCUAAGAAUAUUUCGCAAUGGACGAAAGUCUGACGGAGCGACGCCGCGUGGAUGAUGAAGGUCGGAAGAUUGUAAAAUCCUUUUGAGUGUGAAGAAUAAGUGCAUCAGAGAAAGGUAGUAUGGUGACUGUAGGUUAUGAAUAAGCAACGGCUAAUUACGUGCCAGCAGCCGCGGUAACACGUAAGUUGCGAGCGUUGUUCGGAAUUAUUGGGCGUAAAGGGCAUGUAGGCGGUUUUGCAAGCUUGGUGUGAAAUCCCGGAGCUCAACUCCGGAAUUGCGUUGAGAACUGCAUAACUAGAGUCACUGAGGGGCAAUCAGAAUUCCAGGUGUAGGGGUGAAAUCUGUAGAUAUCUGGAAGAAUACCAAUGGCGAAGGCAGGUUACCAGCAGAUGACUGACGCUGAGGUGCGAAGGUGCGGGGAGCAAACAGGAUUAGAUACCCUGGUA
rnacentral:rRNA from 1 species